CACGUAGGGGGCAAGCGUUGUCCGGAUUUAUUGGGCGUAAAGAGCUCGUAGGCGGUUUCGUAAGUCGGGUGUGAAAACUCUAGCUCACCUAGAGACGCCACCCGAUACUGCGAUGACUAAAGUCCGGUAGGGGAGUGUGGAAUUCCUGGUGUAGCGGUGAAAUGCGUAGAUAUCGAGAGGAACACCAGUGGCGAAGGCGGUUCUCUGGGCCUGACCUGACGCUGAGGAGCGAAAGCGUGGGGAGCGAACAGG
rnacentral:rRNA from 1 species